CCUGGCGCUACCACCUGGUCGCCUGUGCUCGUAGAUGACGCAGGGAAGGGGAGAGGCAAGCUCAAGCUCACAAUCUCUUAACCACCACAGAAAACCCGUUAUAACGCUAUAGAAAAUCCAUUGAUUUGAUCGUGUCUAUUUUGUCAGGUACACAAGACAAUUUUGACUUAUAAUACUUUCUACGUAUGAAAUCUCCCCACAAAACCCCUCCUGAGCCGUCUAAGUAUUUUAUUCACCCCCUCCCCCCAAUAACGGUCCGCCGAUAACUGAUCCUGCGACUGAGGAAAUAUCUCUCAAACUCUGUCCUUCAAAGCGUGUCUCGUGCUCAUUGUGGAGCUCGGACAUCACAAAAAAGUGUCCUCAAGACCUGUUGUUACCGAUGUUGCUAUGGUGAAUAUGAGUCUGCGACUCCAUGCUUCACGGAGAAGUCUUAGAACCUGCAAGGGGAGAGGGGAAAGCUGAUAUACAGUAGAUUGACAGCUAGAUCAUGAGGGUUUAUAGGGAGAGAGAGAGCAAGACUUUUG